UGGGGAAUAUUGGACAAUGGGCGAAAGCCUGAUCCAGCCAUGCCGCGUGUGUGAAGAAGGUCUUCGGAUUGUAAAGCACUUUAAGUUGGGAGGAAGGGCAGUAAGCGAAUACCUUGCUGUUUUGACGUUACCGACAGAAUAAGCACCGGCUAACUCUGUGCCAGCAGCCGCGGUAAUACAGAGGGUGCAAGCGUUAAUCGGAAUUACUGGGCGUAAAGCGCGCGUAGGUGGUUCGUUAAGUUGAAUGUGAAAGCCCCGGGCUCAACCUGGGAACUGCAUCAAAAACUGGCGAGCUAGAGUAGGGCAGAGGGUGGUGGAAUUUCCUGUGUAGCGGUGAAAUGCGUAGAUAUAGGAAGGAACACCAGUGGCGAAGGCGACCACCUGGGCUCAUACUGACACUGAGGUGCGAAAGCGUGAGGAGCAAACAGG
rnacentral:rRNA from 1 species